GCAGGCCCGGCGGGGACGCGCACGCCGCCCUCUGACCCCGCAGCGACGUGGCUAGAGUAGGGUCUGGAGUAGAGCUCCCACUGUGGCGAGCCCUGUCGUUGGAUUCCCGCGGCUCCCCGUGAGGCUCCGCCCCGGCGGUGCUACCAAACCCUGUUCGAUUUUAGAAUCGUACAUUCCCAGAGGGAAUCCUAGACCCCUCAUUUUACAGUUGAGGAAACAGGCCCAAGUAGCAUGACUUGUUCGCGCCGCUAGUCGAAGGAGCAGCAGCCCCGAUCCCUUGACUCCGGGGCACUGCUUUCCCUUUAGCUCAUUUUUGGAGGAAAUGGGUCAGCCCUUGCUCGACCUUUGGUGAUUGCCGCCACAGGCCUUCCCGCCGGCUAACUCAGCGUGCCCAAGUCCCGUGACUUAGUGCCAGGACGGUGCUGUGACCCGUUAUCCCCUGUCGGGUUUUACCUCCCCCCGGGAGAGCUCAGCCCUGGAUCCCGGCGGGCGGCGGAGCCUCUCUGGAGCCCGGACGGGACAGCCCACCAGGGUCUGCUUCUGUGAGGGGCCGAGGCGUCAUUCCGCGAAGCCUUCUCCUUGCUGUCGCCAUGUGAAGAAGGAUGUGUUUGCUUCCCCUUCUGCCAUGAUUGAAGCUGCUGGAAGGUACACAUCUUGGGAGUUUGCCCUUUGAAGCUCACCUGUGGACCUUUUUUCCUUUCGAAAAGAAGCAUAAGCUGCAAUAAAAAUUUGGUUUCAAGAUAACAAAGUCAGUCCCCAAAAAUCAGUAUUGAGAGUCACUGACAUUAAAUGAUGAAGAUACGAGGAUGGUGUGGGGACCUUUACUCUUCAAAGAUGAGCUAUAUAUGCCCCUGAAAAGGCUGUCUGAAGACAGGGGAAGGCUGGAGAUGGCAACUUUGGCCUCUGCCAAGUACUCGUGCUAUUUUCUGUAUGUGAUACUAUCUGUUUUGUAACUCAGAGGCAACACCACAUACCUAGCAUAAGGCUUGAACUCCCUUUGGGGUUAUCAAUUACUUACAUAGCCUUCCUCUAAGGGAAGGCUUGCAAGUGGUUCAUAUUCGACCCUUCCAUGUGAUAAGCAUUCAUGUGGGCUUCACAAUGUAACAGAGGUACACAGAGAUUCUUGUAAACAGAAAAUUUUAUAAAACUGUUAACUGAUCUCACUUUGAAGAAGUCUUACUGACUAGAUGUCAUUUAUCAGAGUAGACAGGCUUAAAAUGCAUUGCUUGUACUAUACUGUUGUAAUGCAUUUUUUGUUUUUGCAUUGGUUUUUAAUUCAUUUAAUUGGUUUACACUCAUUUUUUUUACAUUCCAUUUUUGCAUUUGUAUGCCAGUUAAAAAUUAUGAAAUGGCACAUUGUGGGAUUUUGUUUAGCUAAAUUCUAGAAAAAUUGAAAGAUACCUUUUAUUCGACUUAAGGCUGAGGUUAUUCAGCACGGUGAUCUCUGCAUUUUUGAAAGGUUGUCUCGUCGUUUAAUAAACGUAAAUAACUUAAGCACAUUGGAAGAGCUAUUAAAUGAGAGGAGAUUAAAAAGACAUGAUUUCUUAUUUUAUCCACCUGACAGGAUAGCUUGCGUUGGUGAUUAAUCUUGCAUUGUUAAAUUCAGUUCCUAAAUAUUUAGGUAAGUAGUUGGUUUGAUCAUUAUUUGUAAAGUAUUAGUAGUUGCAUGUUGAAUUAUCAUGUUAAGAUUUUUAGUUUGUUGUUCAUGUGAUAUGAAAGAUAACAAUUCCUAAAACUGAAUGCAUGCAUGGCUUAUUCAGCUCAGGUCACAUACAAAGAGAAAUCUGACGCGGUAAUAAACAUAGCAGAGCUAUCUGGGUUUGAAGCAAAAAGGCUAUGAAGUUAGGUAUAUGCACUUUACAUUGUAUGUAUCUUUUUAGUUCUAGUAAACUCAUCUGGAAUCAUGUUACAGAAAAUGAUUCUCCAGGUCCAAACACAUUUAAGUUUAAUGAUUGGGGCUACUCUAACAAUUGCGGCUAUCUCAUUUUGUCUCAUUGGUUCAUUAGCAUAGCACCCAUUUAAGAACAAUUACUUCUAAACACAGUAAUAUUUCAGAGGCUAUAAAAUAAUAGAGAAAGAAAACUUAAAAAGUCCUUUGUUUGCAGCCAAGAAAAUGUGAGGAUCAGAUUUGUAUUUGUUUUGAACAAUUGGAAACUGUCACAACUGUUUUUAAGAUGUAAUAAAUGUAUAUAAAAUAUGGGAUUCUAUAGUA